ACGAACGCUGGCGGCAUGCCUAACACCUGCAAGUCGAACGCGACCUUCGGGUCUAGUGGCGCACGGGUGCGUAACGCGUGGGAACCUGCCCUUAGGUUCGGAAUAACUCCCCGAAAGGGGUGCUAAUACCGGAUAAUGUCUUCGGACCAAAGAUUUAUCGCCUUUGGAUGGGCCCGCGUUGGAUUAGCUAGUUGGUAGGGUAAAAGCCUACCAAGGCGACGAUCCAUAGCUGGUCUGAGAGGAUGAUCAGCCACACUGGGACUGAGACAUGGCCCAGACUCCUACGGGAGGCAGCAGUGGGGAAUAUUGGACAAUGGGCGAAAGCCUGAUCCAGCAAUGCCGCGUGAGUGAUGAAGGCCCUAGGGUUGUAAAGCUCUUUUACCCGGGAUGAUAAUGACAGUACCGGGAGAAUAAGCUCCGGCUAACUCCGUG
rnacentral:rRNA from 1 species